rnacentral:rRNA from 1 species
UACGUAGGGGGCAAGCGUUGUCCGGAAUCAUUGGGCGUAAAGAGCGCGUAGGCGGCCCUGUAAGUCCGCUGUGAAAGUCAAGGGCUCAACCCUUGAAUGCCGGUGGAUACUGCAGGGCUAGAGUCCGGAAGAGGCGAGUGGAAUUCCUGGUGUAGCGGUGAAAUGCGCAGAUAUCAGGAGGAACACCAGCGGCGAAGGCGGCGCUCUGGGCUGGAACUGACGCUGAGGAGCGAAAGCGUGGGGAGCGAA